rnacentral:lncRNA from 1 species
GUUGCCCAGAGAUGGUCACCCAAGAGGGGGGUGAAUUGGGUGUUUUAAAACUUUUUGACUAAUUAAAACAAACACACACAAGUGUAUGUGCUAAAGUAAAGUUAAAGCUAUACGCACAGUCAAUCGCAAACACAACGAUUUAUAGUGGUUCGGAGCUUCCACUGCUCCUACAUCCACUCCCCAAAUACCUUUGGGAAUUU